UACAGAGGUCUCAAGCGUUGUUCGGAUUCAUUGGGCGUAAAGGGUGCGUAGGCGGCGCGGUAAGUCGGGUGUGAAAUCUUGGAGCUUAACUCCGAAACUGCAUUCGAUACUGCCGUGCUUGAGGACUGGAGAGGAGACUGGAAUUUACGGUGUAGCGGUGAAAUGCGUAGAUAUCGUAAGGAAGACCAGUGGCGAAGGCGGGGUCUCUGGACAGUUCCUGACACUGAGGCACGAAGGCCAGGGGAGCAAACGGG
rnacentral:rRNA from 1 species